GAUGAACGCUGGCGGCGUGCCUAAUACAUGCAAGUCGAGCGAACAGAUAAGGAGCUUGCUCCUUUGACGUUAGCGGCGGACGGGUGAGUAACACGUGGAUAACCUACCUAUAAGACUGGGAUAACUUCGGGAAACCGGAGCUAAUACCGGAUAACAUAUUGAACCGCAUGGUUCAAUAGUGAAAGGCGGCUUUGCUGUCACUUAUAGAUGGAUCCGCGCCGUAUUAGCUAGUUGGUAAGGUAACGGCUUACCAAGGCAACGAUACGUAGCCGACCUGAGAGGGUGAUCGGCCACACUGGAACUGAGACACGGUCCAGACUCCUACGGGAGGCAGCAGUAGGGAAUCUUCCGCAAUGGGCGAAAGCCUGACGGAGCAACGCCGCGUGAGUGAUGAAGGUCUUCGGAUCGUAAAACUCUGUUAUCAGGGAAGAACAAAUGUGUAAGUAACUGUGCACAUCUUGACGGUACCUGAUCAGAAAGCCACGGCUAAAUACGUG
rnacentral:rRNA from 1 species